CCCACCACCUCCGAGCCGCCCGCUCCCAGCCGCCUGUUUCUUUUUCCCCAAUCUCCCCAUCAUGUUCUCUGUAGGUGGACGCAGCACCGCGCCAAGGCAGCAGCAACUCGGUGACGUUCCAGGCUACCCCCUCUCCGUCCGGUGGUGCCAUGCUAAGCCACAGAGCGAGCCGCAUCUGCUCGGUCUUACUCUCUAGGCGCAUGGUGGAGUUGCAACGCGGUGGCCGUGGGGAUGCGCCGAGCCACCGCCGGGGGGCUGCACCGUGUUGAGACGCCGCCACCCCUUCAUGGCCGCGGACUCCGCGUCCAUUGCCCACGCCGUCCUCACCGAUGGCUUCUCCGUCGACAUCGGCAUGGUGUGCGCCGCUUGCCCCACCAGGUCCCCCUCUUUCCCUUUUGCAUUUGAUUUUAUCUUUCCUUUUAUUUUUAUUUUGAAGGUAGUCUACGAGCAGGCAACGACGGUUAUGGCAUCCUCAUCGGUGGAGACGGUCAGCUGCUCAGGAGCAUGGGUCGAGGCGAGAUGGUGGCAGAUGUGGUGUCUCCCUCCGAUGGCGUCCGCGGGAAUGGCCGGAUCUGUGUCUAGAAAGGCAUGGGAACGACCCCGGUUGUCGUCCGGCGAGCGCUGGAGAGGGAGUAGCAUAGGUGUUAUCCGUGAUUUGUUUUUAAUUUGAAGUUUUUUGUGUUUUGCUACUGGACAGGUGUAUUGUAUGGAAAAAAUCUAUAAUUUUAAAUUUCAUGUGGUGUUUUAUUCCUUUUGUGUAAAAUGUUAUUUGUGGUGUAUUUGUAGAAUUCCCUUUUAUGCAGUGGCAUGAGCGUAUCAAAAUUUCCAUGAACCAAAGAAAUGAGGGGUAGGCUAAUCUACCAGACUUAAAUUACUG
rnacentral:lncRNA from 1 species